rnacentral:misc_RNA from 1 species
UCCGGUUUGACACCGGCAGUCUCCCUAGAGUGCCCGGCUUUACCCGCUGGUAACUAGGGACGAGGGUUGCGCUCGUUGCGGGACUUAACCCAACAUCUCACGACACGAGCUGACGACAGCCAUGCAGCACCUGUGACCGGGCUCCGAAGAGCUUUCCAGGUUUCCCCGGAAAUUCCCGGCCAUGUCAAGCCCAGGUAAGGUUCUUCGCGUUGCGUCGAAUUAAACCACAUGCUCCACUGCUUGUGCGGGCCCCCGUCAAUUCCUUUGAGUUUCAGCCUUGCGGCCGUACUCCCCAGGCGGGGCACUUAAUGCGUUUGCGCCGGCCCUCAAGGGGUCGCUCCCCCCGACGCCUAGUGCCCAUCGUUUACAGUGUGGACUAC